rnacentral:tRNA from 1 species
UAUAUUUUAGUAUAGAGUAUAAAAAUUUUUGAAGUUUUAGGAAUUAGUUAAAGUCUAAUAAAUAUAA